UACGUAGGGGGCAAGCGUUGUCCGGAAUCAUUGGGCGUAAAGAGCGUGUAGGCGGUUCGGUAAGUCGGCUGUGAAAGUCCAGGCUCAACCCUGGGAUGCCGGUCGAUACUGCCGGACUAGAGUUCGGAAGAGGCGAGUGGAAUUCCCGGUGUAGCGGUGAAAUGCGUAGAGAUCGGGAGGAACACCCGUGGCGAAGGCGGCAUCUGGACCAGCACUGACGCUGAGGCACGAAG
rnacentral:rRNA from 1 species